rnacentral:lncRNA from 1 species
AACAUAGCAAAGCCCACAAUCUAAGAGGUGGCUUCGGGUACUCCGGUAUUUUUUUUGGAUCAGUUAUCAUGCUGCAGCAUCAAUCAUCAUUUGUUGUAGUCUACACCCUCCAUCAGCAUCAGUAUCAAGUGGAGACUGUGCGCCUCCAUAGACCCCUAUGACAGAUGGCCUGCAGAUAUUGAUGACCGCAGGCUGCAGCCCCCCCACCUUUCUGACAGCGCUUCUGGUUGUCGUAAAGGUCACAGGGAAACAGGACACCUCUCCCAGAGAAGAAGUGUCACGAUGGGCAGCCACACCGGUCACUCUUUGA